rnacentral:snRNA from 1 species
GCACUGGCUUCAGCAGCACAUAUACUAAAACUGGAACAAUACAGAGAAGAUUAGCACGGCCCCUGCUCAAGGACGACAUGCAAAUUCGUGAAGCAUUCCAUAUUCUU